rnacentral:rRNA from 1 species
UACGUAGGGGGCAAGCGUUACCCGGAUUCACUGGGCGUAAAGCGCGUGUAGGCGGCUGAUCAAGCGUGAUGUGAAAUCUCCGGGCUCAACCCGGAAACUGCAUUGCGAACUGGUCUGGCUAGAGUGCAGGAGAGGGCAGCAGAAUUCCUGGUGUAGCGGUGAAAUGCGUAGAUAUCAGGAGGAAUACCAGUGGCGAAGGCGGCUGCCUGGCCUGUAACUGACGCUGAGACGCGAAAGCGUGGGGAGCGAA